AUAGAACAGAGAGUUUAACUGGGGUAGUUUUUUUGUAAAAUCUGAGGUUGUAAAAGGCAUGUAAAGUGGGGUUAGGUCCUUUAGAUAAGGAUAAUUUGAGUGAGUUACUUUAGGGAUAACAGCGUAAUAGUCCUAGGGAGAUCGUAUCUAUGGGAUUGAUUGCGACCUCGAUGUUGAAUUAAAAGAUCAGUGUAGAGCAGGAGCUACAGGGUGAGGGUUUGUUCAACCUUUAAAUUUUUACAUGAUCUGA
rnacentral:rRNA from 1 species